rnacentral:piRNA from 1 species
UGGCACGUUUUAUUAUUUUUGUAGUC